UACGGAGGGUGCAAGCGUUAUCCGGAUUCACUGGGUUUAAAGGGUGCGUAGGUGGGCAGGUAAGUCAGUGGUGAAAUCUCCGGGCUUAACCCGGAAACUGCCAUUGAUACUAUCAGUCUUGAAUACCGUGGAGGUAAGCGGAAUAUGUCAUGUAGCGGUGAAAUGCUUAGAUAUGACAUAGAACACCAAUUGCGAAGGCAGCUGGCUACACGAAUAUUGACACUGAUGCACGAAAGCGUGGGGAUCAAACAGGA
rnacentral:rRNA from 1 species